UCUCUUGGUGAGCAUGCAAGC
rnacentral:misc_RNA from 1 species